GACGUAGGGCGCGAGCGUUGUCCGGAUUUAUUGGGCGUAAAGAGCUCGUAGGCGGCUUGUCGCGUCCGUUCGUGGAAAACCUGCAGCUCAACUGCAGGCUUGCGGUCGAUACGGGCAGGCUAGAGUUCGGUAGGGGAGACUGGAAUUCCUGGUGUAGCGGUGAAAUGCGCAGAUAUCAGGAGGAACACCGGUGGCGAAGGCGGGAUCUCUGGGGCAUGUCCUGACGCUGAGGAGCGAAAGUGUGG
rnacentral:rRNA from 1 species